rnacentral:rRNA from 1 species
UACGUAGGGUGCAAGCGUUAUCCGGAAUGAUUGGGCGUAAAGCGUCCGCAGGUGGCAGUUCAAGUCUGCUGUCAAAGACCGGGGCUUAACUUCGGAAAGGCAGUGGAAACUGAACAGCUAGAGUAUGGUAGGGGCAGAGGGAAUUCCUGGUGUAGCGGUGAAAUGCGUAGAGAUCAGGAAGAACAUCGGUGGCGAAGGCGGCAUCCUGGACCGAUACUGACGCUGAGGAGCGAAAGCCAGGGGAGCAAACGGG